GAAAAGGACAGUCACAACAGAAGUAGCAACUGCAUGGAAAUGACGGAAAGGAAGCCCUCGUUGCCUUUUUCCAUUUGGAACAUUUUCAUCUUUUUCCUUGUCUUCAUCUUUCCUUUGUGCUUUUUCUUCACGUCAUUUUUUUG
rnacentral:ribozyme from 1 species